UCCUGACCUCGGAUCAGACGUGAUUACCCGCUGAACUUAAGCAUAUCACUAAGCGGAGGAAAAGAAACUAACAAGGAUUCCCUCAGUAACGGCGAGUGAACAGGGAAAAGCCCAGCACCGAAGCCUGUGGCCAGUUGGUCACUAGGCAAUGUGGUGUUCAGGUCGUUCCGCGGGGGUGCUGCUCCAUUCCAAGUCCAGCAAUGAGUACGGUAAUGCUGACAUGGCCCAAAGAGGGUGAAAGGCCCGUUGGGGUGGAGAGGCAGAAAUGACAGCACCUUCCUGGAUAGACCUUGGAGUCGGGUUGUUUGUGAAUGCAGCCCAAAGUGGGUGGUAAACUCCAUCCAAGGCUAAAUACUUGCACGAGUCCGAUAGCGAACAAGUACCGUGAGGGAAAGUUGAAAAGUACUUUGAAGAGAGAGUAAACAGUGCGUGAAACCGCUCAGAGGUAAACGGGUGGAGUUGAACUGUGAGCUCUGUGGAUUUAGCUGGUGAGUGUGGUUUGAGCUUGGUCAAAUUGGUUGAUGCUCGGGGUCUGCGUAGCAGCAGGUCUUCAUCUUCGGGUGGGGAUGCGCGAUGCACUUAUCAAGUGUUGCGCGCCUCGAGCAGAUUCGGGCCAGCUUGCCAGUGCACUUUCGCAGAGCGGUCACCACGACCGGCAUCGCUGUCUUGCUGUUGUGGUUAAACCGGCCUUGCAUUGUCCUUGUGGCUUUGUCUGGUCGGGAUGGCAGGUAGCCCGUUGGCUUUUCUGUGGCUUGCCGCAGGAGUCCGGCCCUCGGGUGUAAUCAGCUGACCACAUCGGUUAUGUGCAGUAUGUCGGAGACGGCGGCUUGUGGUGUGUGCGUGCGUGCCAGUUGGCCGGCGUGUCCGGGUUCGGUUGUUAUCCGCCUGUGUUCACAGGCCUAAUGAUAGCUCGGAUUCGUUCGGUCGGCGGUUGCGUGCGUGUCACUGUUUCCAGGGCCAAUAGUCUGUGGUGUUGCGGUAGACUAUCCACCCGACCCGUCUUGAAACACGGACCAAGGAGAGUAACAUGUGCGCGAGUCAUUGGGCGUAACGAAACCCAAAGGCGAAGUGAAAGUGAAGGUCUGGCUUGUCCGGACUGAGGUGAGAUCCUGUCGUGCCUCAUGCGCGGUAUCACCAAGCAUCGAGCGGCAGGCGCAUCACCGGCCCGUCCCAUGGUGUGAUGACCCUGUUCAGAGUUUGUCAUCGGGGCGGAGCAUGAGCGUACAUGUUGAGACCCGAAAGAUGGUGAACUAUGCUUGCGCAGGUUGAAGCCAGAGGAAACUCUGGUGGAGGACCGCAGCGAUUCUGACGUGCAAAUCGAUCGUCAGACGUGAGUAUAGGGGCGAAAGACUAAUCGAACCAUCUAGUAGCUGGUUCCCUCCGAAGUUUCCCUCAGGAUAAGC
rnacentral:rRNA from 1 species